GAUGAAGAACGCGGCGAACGUGCGAAACGUAAUGUGAAUUGCAGAAUUCAGUGAAUCAUCGAAUCUUUGAACGCAUCUUGCGCUCCUUGGUAUUCCGAGGAGCAUGCCUGUUUGAGUGUCGUGAAUACUCUCAACUUCAACCCUUUUUUCGGAAAGGGAGGAAGGUUGGACUUGGGUGUUUGUUGAAGUGCGAGCUUCGACUCAUCCUAAAUGCAUUAGCGAUCUGCCUCGAUCACACACAAUGUGAUAAUUAAAACUAAAGCAUUGUUUAAUGAUCAAGUCGAGACUGCUUCUAACUGUCGCAAGACAAUAACGUGCAUACAUUUGUGCAUGUCAUUUGACCUCAAAUCAGGUAGGACUACCCGCUGAACUUAAGCAUAUCAAUAAGCGGAGGA
rnacentral:misc_RNA from 1 species